rnacentral:lncRNA from 10 species
AUGAUACAGAAGCACUACCUUGAAGCUUCAGAGCAGGGACUGCACAACAGCUGCCAAGGCCAAGCCUGCUAUCUCCUAUGAUAAGAGUACUUUUGAAGAAAUGUGUCCACACUGUUUGCAGUUGCUGAUUCUGGAUAACUCUUGAGUGUGUCUCAAACCCAAAGCCACAUUGACACCCAAAAUACAGAAACUGAUUAAUCAAGAAGCAUGAAAUUAUACACUCAGUUUUAAAGAAGCAAAAAUUGUGAAAAAAUUCAAAGACGACAAAAGUGUAUUGUUGAUUACUUGUAAAACAUGCCGCAGAACAGUGAAACAUCAUGGUAAGAGUAGAAGCUUUCUAUCAGCAUUGAAGAGCAAUCCUACUACUCCUCAAGUAAACUCAGCCUGAAGACACCAAAGAGAAGGACUGCAAACCCAAAUCAUGAGAUGUCUGGUUCCAAAGGCAAAAGCCCAGUAUUGAUUUCCAGAACACCUACAUCUGGAGAGUCAGUAUUUUCUUGCUCCCCAAAGAAUGUGAGCAAAACAAAGAAACAUUUUUCUUGUAAAAAAAUGUUCCUUAGUCAGAAUGAAUCCCAAAAGAAUCCAAAGAUAGACUUCAGAAAUUUCUUAUCUUCUCUGAAGGGUGGACUUUGACAAUAA